AGGGAGGUGAGGUUUGGAACUAGGAGACUAGGAGGGAGGGGAGGUUUGGAACUAGGAGACUAGGAGGGAGGUUUGGAACUAGGAGACGGUCGUCCAUGUGUCUGCGAAGAAAGCAUCAAAACUGAACUUCCACAUUGAAAGAAUGAGUUGAGUGUGUAAUUGAUGUAUGCUUGCUGCCUGGAGACGACAUGGUGACAUAAUAGAACAUGGGGAUGAUGCAACAAAGCUGACAUGUCAGAAUCUACUGAGGAACACGCGAUGCAGGAGAUGACCUCGAACUGUAACCAGAACAUGGACUCAUGAACAGCUCUGGGUUUGGACUGAAUGUUGUUAAUGAAAUUAACAAAGUGCCACAGAAAUGACUGGGAAUUGGGAAUCCCUCACUGCACAAGGUAGACAGAUAUUUUUUUAUGAAACAAGUUUUUAAUGAAGGAGGUCACAUCUUGUUGGUCUUCGAUCAAAACACACCAGCCAUGUGAUUUACAUUACAUCAAUCAGCACUUAGUUACUUCAACAGACCUAAUUUUAUGUUAAGUUGAGAAAUGUGUGUGCGUGUGUGUAUAAAUGUUAUCUUUCUGA